rnacentral:misc_RNA from 1 species
GUGCUAUAGGCCUUCCUGAACUGUGCUUUGGACAACCAUUUGAAUUCGUUGUCUCGGUGGGAUUCAAUGAAACUCUUGAACUUGUCUUCCCACGAUUGUAACUUUAUGAUUUUCAUGCUGUUCAGGAUCUCAGACGUAGCCCUGAGUCGUUCAUCCUGAGCAAUCAUAAAUUCAUAUUGACAUUUUUGUAGAAAUCUUGC